UUUACUUCUGUUUACAUCUAGUCUUUACGGUUUCUAUAGAACAUAUCUUCAACUAACUAAUGGCUAACAAGCUCUUGUAUUUUGUAUUGAUGGCGGUGUUUCUACUGUUUAGUGUGUCCAAAAUCUGGUGGGAAACUCCUAAUAAACGGCGAGUUUACUCGACAAUGGAAUUGGUCGACAAACUUUUUAAAUCGGGAAAAGCGUUACUUCAUAUCGGAUUCGAUGAAGAUCAAGAGUACUUUAAAUCUUAUUUUCUGCUAUAGACUAUUACAUCAGGUUAGCAUGUGUUAUAUAUGGUUUUCUCAAUGGCUACUGUUGUGUUUUUUGUUUAUAAUAAAAGUAAAACAGUUAUGUAAUCAAAGUCAAAACUA